rnacentral:rRNA from 1 species
UGUCUGGCGGCAGUAGCGCGGUGGUCCCACCUGACCCCAUGCCGAACUCAGAAGUGAAACGCCGUAGCGCCGAUGGUAGUGUGGGGUCUCCCCAUGUGAGAGUAGGGAACUGCCAGACAU